AUGAUUUCAAGGUUGAAGCAAUCUGAGAAUGGCCAACUCCAAAGAUCAUUUCCGAAGUACAAGUUUUGUGAAGAAUUUCAGAACUAUAAUGGCACCAACUACCGAGUGCCUGAAGAAAGGAAGUUCCAAUGGACAGAAGUGGCUGAAGCUAGUUCGAAUGAGAUCAAGCAAAAACUCUCACAAGCUUCUGUCUUGGUUCUACCUGAUUUCAACAAGACUUGUGAGUUGGAGUGUGAUGCAAGUGGAGUAGGCGUUGAAGCUGUUCUAUCUCAAGAAAGGAAGCCCAUUGCUUUCUUUAGUGAGAAGUUAAGCGAAGCUAGGCAGAAAUGGAGUACCUAUCAACAAGAAUUGCAUGCUGUUUCAGAGGUUUGA
rnacentral:rRNA from 1 species